rnacentral:tRNA from 1 species
AGGGUUGUAGUUAAAAAUAACAUUUAAAUUGCAAUUAAAAAGUACUAGAAAGUCAACCUU